AAUCCAUAGGUUAAUGAGGCGAACCGGGGGAACUGAAACAUCUAAGUACCCCGAGGAAAAGAAAUCAACCGAGAUUCCCCCAGUAGCGGCGAGCGAACGGGGAGGAGCCCAGAGCCUGAAUCAGCAUGUGUGUUAGUGGAAGCGUCUGGAAAGGCGCGCGAUACAGGGUGACAGCCCCGUACACAAAAGCGCAUGUGCUGUGAGCUCGAUGAGUAGGGCGGGACACGUGGUAUCCUGUCUGAAUAUGGGGGGACCAUCCUCCAAGGCUAAAUACUCCUGACUGACCGAUAGUGAACCAGUACCGUGAGGGAAAGGCGAAAAGAACCCCGGCGAGGGGAGUGAAAAAGAACCUGAAACCGUGUACGUACAAGCAGUGGGAGCACCCUUCGGGGUGUGACUGCGUACCUUUUGUAUAAUGGGUCAGCGACUU
rnacentral:rRNA from 1 species